GUUGUAUAGUCAAGUAAUUAAGUGCAUGUGGUGGAUGCCUUGGCAGUCAGAGGCGAUGAAAGACGUGAUAGCCUGCGAAAAGCUCCGGGGAGGCGGCAAAUAUCCUUUGAUCCGGAGAUGUCUGAAUGGGGGAACCCACCUACUUUAAGGUAGGUAUUGCAACAUGAAUACAUAGUGUUGCAAGGCGAACGAGGGGAAGUGAAACAUCUCAGUACCCUUAGGAAAAGAAAUCAAUUGAGAUUCCCUCAGUAGCGGCGAGCGAACGGGGAUCAGCCCAUUAAGUUAUGUGUGUUUUAGUGGAACGCUCUGGGAAGUGCGAACGUAGAGGGUGAUAUUCCCGUACACGAAAGGGCACACAUAAUGAUGACGAGUAGGGCGAGGCACGUGAAACCUUGUCUGAAUAUGGGGGGACCAUCCUCCAAGGCUAAAUACUCCUGACUGACCGAUAGUGAACCAGUACCGUGAGGGAAAGGCGAAAAGAACCCCUGUGAGGGGAGUGAAAUAGAUCCUGAAACCGCAUGCAUACAAGCAGUGGGAGCACCUUCGUGGUGUGACUGCGUACCUUUUGUAUAAUGGGUCAGCGACUUAUAUUCAGUAGCAAGGUUAACCGUAUAGGGGAGCCGUAGAGAAAUCGAGUCUUAAUAGGGCGUUUAGUUGCUGGGUAUAGACCCGAAACCAGGCGAUCUAUCCAUGAGCAGGUUGAAGGUUGGGUAACACUAACUGGAGGACCGAACCCACUGUCGUUGAAAAGCCAGGGGAUGACUUGUGGAUAGGGGUGAAAGGCUAAUCAAGCCUGGUGAUAGCUGGUUCUCCCCGAAAGCUAUUUAGGUAGCGCCUCGGACGAAUACCAUAGGGGGUAGAGCACUGUUUCGGCUAGGGGGUCAUCCCGACUUACCAAACCGAUGCAAACUCCGAAUACCUAUGAGUACUAUCCGGGAGACAGACUGCGGGUGCUAACGUCCGUAGUCAAGAGGAAAACAAUCCAGACCGCCAGCUAAGGCCCCAAAAUCAUAGUUAAGUGGGAAACGAUGUGGGAAGGCAUAGACAGCUAGGAGGUUGGCUUANNNNNNNNNNNNNNNNNNNNNNNNNNNNNNNNNNNNNNNNNNNNNGAAGCAGCCACCCUUUAAAGAAAGCGUAAUAGCUCACUAGUCGAGUCGGCCUGCGCGGAAGAUGUAACGGGGCUAAAACUAUGUGCCGAAGCUGCGGAUGUAUACUUUGUAUACGUGGUAGGGGAGCGUUCUGUAAGCCGAUGAAGGUGUGUUGAGAAGCNNNNNNNAUGCUGGAGGUAUCAGAAGUGCGAAUGCUGACGUGAGUAACGACAAAACGGGUGAAAAACCCGUUCGCCGAAAGACCAAGGGUUCCAGUCCAACGUUAAUCGGGGCUGGGUGAGUCGACCCCUAAGGCGAGGCCGAAAGGCGUAGUCGAUGGGAAAAUGGUUAAUAUUCCAUUACUUCUGUGUAAUGCGAUGAGAGGACGGAGAAGGCUAAAUCAGCCUGGCGUUGGUUGUCCAGGUGAAAGGAUGUAGGCAUGUAUCUUAGGCAAAUCCGGGGUACUCUAUGCUGAGAUCUGAUAGCAAGCUGUACUUGUACAGCGAAGUGGUUGAUGCCAUGCUUCCAGGAAAAGUCUCUAAGCUUCAGUUACACAGGAAUCGUACCCGAAACCGACACAGGUGGUCAGGUCGAGUAGACCAAGGCGCUUGAGAGAACUCUGCUGAAGGAACUAGGCAAAAUGGUACCGUAACUUCGGGAGAAGGUACGCUGUUGUUGGUGAUGGAACUCGCUUCCUGAGCUGACGACAGCCGCAGAAACCAGGCCGCUGCAACUGUUUAUUAAAAACAUAGCACUCUGCAAACACGAAAGUGGACGUAUAGGGUGUGAUGCCUGCCCGGUGCUGGAAGGUUAAUUGAUGGGGUUAGCGUAAGCGAAGCUCUUGAUCGAAGCCCCAGUAAACGGCGGCCGUAACUAUAACGGUCCUAAGGUAGCGAAAUUCCUUGUCGGGUAAGUUCCGACCUGCACGAAUGGCAUAAUGAUGGCGGCGCUGUCUCCAGCAGAGGCUCAGUGAAAUCGAAAUCGCUGUGAAGAUGCAGUGUACCCGCGGCUAGACGGAAAGACCCCGUGAACCUUUACUGCAGCUUGACACUGAACUUUGACCUUACUUGUGUAGGAUAGGUGGGAGGCUUUGAAGCUGGAACGCUAGUUCCAGUGGAGCCGUCCUUGAAAUACCACCCUGGUAAUGUUGAGGUUCUAACUCUGUCCCGUGAUCCGGGACGAGGACCGUGUCUGGUGGGUAGUUUGACUGGGGCGGUCUCCUCCUAAAGAGUAACGGAGGAGUACGAAGGUGCGCUCAGCGUGGUCGGAAAUCACGCGUAGAGUAUAAAGGCAAAAGCGCGCUUAACUGCGAGACCCACAAGUCGAGCAGGUACGAAAGUAGGUCUUAGUGAUCCGGUGGUUCUGUAUGGAAGGGCCAUCGCUCAACGGAUAAAAGGUACUCUGGGGAUAACAGGCUGAUACCGCCCAAGAGUUCAUAUCGACGGCGGUGUUUGGCACCUCGAUGUCGGCUCAUCUCAUCCUGGGGCUGAAGCAGGUCCCAAGGGUAUGGCUGUUCGCCAUUUAAAGAGGUACGCGAGCUGGGUUUAGAACGUCGUGAGACAGUUCGGUCCCUAUCUACCGUGGGCGCUGGAAAUUUGAGAGGAUCUGCUCCUAGUACGAGAGGACCAGAGUGGACGAACCUCUGGUGUACCGGUUGUGACGCCAGUCGCAUCGCCGGGUAGCUAUGUUCGGAAGGGAUAACCGCUGAAAGCAUCUAAGCGGGAAGCCUACCUCAAGAUAAGAUUUCCCUAGGACUUUAUGUCCUCUAAAGAGCCGUUCGAGACUAGGACGUUGAUAGGUUGGAUGUGGAAGCAUAGUGAUAUGUGAAGCUGACCAAUACUAAUUGCUCGUGAGGCUUGACUAUACAACACCCAAGCAGUUG
rnacentral:rRNA from 1 species